GUGGGGAAUAUUGCACAAUGGGGGAAACCCUGAUGCAGCGACGCCGCGUGGAGGAUGACGGCCUUCGGGUUGUAAACUCCUUUUGUCAGGGACAAUGGUGAUGGUACCUGACGAAUAAGCCACGGCUAACUCUGUGCCAGCAGCCGCGGUAAGAAAGAGGUGGCGAGCGUUGUUCGGAAUUACUGGGCUUAAAGGGCGCGUAGGCGGUGGUGUAAGUCUGGGGUGGAAUGCUACAGCUCAACUGUAGAGCUGCCUUGGAAACUGCAUUACUUGAGUCGGUGAGGGGAAGGCGGAAUUCCUGGUGUAGCGGUGAAAUGCGUAGAUAUCAGGAGGAAGGUCUGUGGCGAAGGCGGCCUUCUGGCACUUGACUGACGCUGAGGCGCGAAAGCGUGGGGAGCAAACAGGAUUAGAUACCCGAGUAGUCC
rnacentral:rRNA from 1 species